CACGAGGAUGCAGGAGAGAGCCGUUCCGAUAGAUCCCGCGGGAGAUAUCGGUAAACUCCAUAAUUCAGGAAUCGGUAUACACCGGCCAUAAAUUUCGCCUGAUGCAAUGGGCGUUAAUCUUCGUUAAUUCUCUCGUUAAUCAGUCACGGAUAUAUACUGGUGGGGACUUAGCUCAACUACAAAAGAGGACUCGACGAGCCAUGCGAUUUAAGGGAUCUAAAAGAAAGAAGAUCGAGGGGAAUAGAGAAUAGAAGAAGCGUAUAAACCGCGGUGGUGGACCCUACAGCGGCACACGUUCGUUAUCCACGAAGAACGCGAGGAAGGAGAACCACGGUGUAUCGUAGACGGCGUCGUUUAUACGGGCCGCGCGACGCCACUGUCGCAAGACCACCUACGACAAAUGUGGCAGCCUGCAAAUAAUACCGGGCGUGUUGUACCACCAACGACAGGAGAGAUAGAGGCCUCUAACUGCCAGCACGGUAUCGUGGUUUAGUGCCUCUGAUUACCUGAGCCCCCUCUCCCUCAACCACCCCCCUUACAUUCAACUCCUCCCCCGCGAUGUGCCGAGUCCAAGUGGCCAUGCGCUCCCAACAGCGCUACGGUUAACACAGAAAGACGUCUUCUCUUCUUUCUUCUCGUUGAAAUCCCCCCCCUCUUUCUUUCUCUUGCUCUCUGUUUUACUCGUAUCUUCCGUUUCGUUCUCUUUUGCUGGUUACAUGUACAAGAGUAAGAAAGAGUAAGAGAGAGGGGGAGGGGAGGAGAGAAAGAGAGAACAGCCUGCCGAACGCGUGAGAUUCGCGGUCUGGAUAGGCUCUAAACGACGGAUCAGGACGUACAGUAUCUCACAAUAAUGGCGCACGGUGGAAGGCCCCCGAUAAGGUCGGCCUCGUUGCUAGAUUUAAGGGACGGCGCGAGCGGCCCGUAGCGAACGUUCCGAACGGCGAUUGAGAAUUAUUGGUCCGUGUACGGACUACGCGCGUGUAUACAUAUACCUAUGCCUUUUACGUAGAUAUACGUAUGCAUGCGUAUGCGUGUCGCGAUACGUGUAUACACGUGUAUGUAUGCGUUUUAUCUGUGUAGUGCUGUGCGUCUGUAUGCGUGUAUUUAUAGAUACGUAUUAUUUGUAUGUAUAUAUGACGUUGUGUAGUUGCACAGUAUUGGUCGUGGUGGCGCUGCCUUUCGAGAGCGUCAUUAUUGUGCGAUGCUGUAAGUACGUUCACCGGGCCGAUUCGUUCUGUGAAUCACGGUAUCGUUCGUCGUUUCAACGACGAAAAAUCGGCGGACAAAAGGCGUUUUCUGUCCGGGGCCGACUCGUUAGUACACCCAAAGCAAACGAUCGGUUUUUUGAUAAACGAGCUUGGUGGGCGUGCGAUGUUUCCUUAAUCGUCGAAAACGAGGUUGUCUGAUUGUUAUUAGAUUAUUUAUUCGGUUACGUUGAUGGACAACACGCAGAGUCGAUUGACACACGACGGUUUGAAAUUGUUAGUGAAUGCCAGAAAUCGGGUUAAAUGAUAACUUGCCUUCACGUGAUUGGCCGUUUUUGCACCUAUAGAUUGAUAAUCUUCGUAGGAAUGAAAUUGAAUUUAUUGGUUAAGUGAUUGACCGAGGCGUGCGCUUGCGACGAGAAUAAAAGGUUGUACUAAUUACCGGUAGAUGACACUAGGCUUAUCUUAACACGGCGUAACCAAUCGCGAUUAAAAAUCAGUGGCACGAAAAAUAUCUAUUGCGAUAGGUUUCCAAAGUGAAACAAAUCAAGAUGAAAUAGAAAAGAUAAGAGAUUCUAAGGAAUUAAAAAAUCGUUAUGACGAAAAAUUUCAUAGAUUUUGAAAAGGUAUAGAAUUUCAUAUAUGAUUAUAUUAUGUUUUCUACAUUAUGGAACAUUCAUAUUAUGAAAUAUCCACUGUAUUCGAUACCCAAAAAUAUCCAUAAAAAAGUAAACUAGUAAUUGAAAAUAAUUGUUUCGUAGAGUGCUAGAGGCAAGAUUCGGUCGUAUUCAAUCGGUUGAAUUUUUCCAACGGAAUAAAAAAAAAAAAAAAAAAAAGCUAAAAUAUCCUGCAAGCAAUUCCUCUACGAUGGAUCGAUAACAAUCUCGCAGGUAAUAAUUAUCAAGAAUCGCCAGCGCAUCGAUGACCUUUAUAUUGGCGGAGGGCUUGCGAAAUAGACUGUAACGAAAAGUUUGCUCGCUGCCGAUUGAAAUUGAUGUGUAUACGCAUGCGCUCUGUGCUAUGCGUAUGAAUCUCUCUUUGAACUCUAAGGGAAAGGCCUACUUUUCAUCUAUUAUUAUAUUUACCAUCGAUAGAUACGCAUAUAUAAAAGGUGUUCCGUACAUAAUAUAAUUCAUAAAUCCAUUUCAAAAAUUGAUUAUAUACUUAUUUUUGCAUUUCCAGAUAAGCCAUUGUAAACAUGUUCUCAUUGAUCUGAUUAUUAUAGAAGACAUAUUGUUCUAUUCUAAAAGCAUAUUAUUUCAUGAUUUUCAAUAGACAUUGCACACACAAUUAUGCAAAAUUUUAAACAUCUCCACGCAACAGCAUCCUCCUCCACCUCGUUUGCUAGCUUCUUCCUCCACCUCUUCCUCCUCCACUCAUCGUCUGGUCUCCGUCGGCUGGCUCUGGAACAAUAGCACCUCGGCUACACGGUGGAUGAACUUCUGAGACUGGAAUCGGCUCUGCCCACUCUGUGAAUUUCGUUUCCGUAAAAAUGGCCAGAGGAGGAAAGAGGUCGGCAAGAGAUCUAAAAGGCAACCUAUAUACACGGCCGAGGUGAAACGUGGCUCAAAGUACAGGCCUCGAUAAAUGCGCAUCGCUUCACUCGGUCCCUGUGAAUUGCUGAAAAAUAGAAUGUAAAUAAGCGUUUUCAACCGGCCACGAGGGGGAGGUGGCUUUCCACAUUUGUUUGCCGGCUACGCGAGGGAGGGAGCCAGCUGCCACGGUGAAAUGUCAAACGUGAAUUAUUCGUAUCGCAACCGAUAAAGAUAAGCCCUCUCAUGGAAAUCGAACCGAUCGUCGAACCUGCUGCUUUUGAUCGAAACAAGAUCGAUCCCUGGUUUAUUAAUUAAUUCUUGCGCUUUUAAAAAUAUGAAUAUUGUUCGUGAAUGAUGUUGGUGGAUCAUUUUUGGAGGAUUGAUUCUAGAGAAGAUAAAUGUUAAGGAUUCCAUAAGAUUCUAUCAGUAAAAGUAACAAUUUUCUCUGCAACCACAAUCUCUAACAAUAUAUAUAUAUAUAUACAUAUAUACGAUAUGAAAAAUAACUUUCCAGAGAGUUGUGUAGCUGUUGUAAUGCAAAGAUAAGAAGACUAACAAUAAA